GGAGAGGUAGCAAAGCCUGGUUAAAUGCGCUCGACUUAAGAUCGAAUCCUUCGGGUUCACGGGUUCGAAUCCCGUCCUCUUCU
rnacentral:tRNA from 1 species